AGUGAACGCUGGCGGCAGGCCUAACACAUGCAAGUCGAACGAACUCUUCGGAGUUAGUGGCGGACGGGUGAGUAACACGUGGGAACGUGCCUUUAGGUUCGGAAUAACUCAGGGAAACUUGUGCUAAUACCGAAUGUGCCCUUCGGGGGAAAGAUUUAUCGCCUUUAGAGCGGCCCGCGUCUGGUUAGCUAGUUGGUGAGGUAAAGGCUCACCAAGGCGACGAUCAGUAGCUGGUCUGAGAGGAUGAUCAGCCACAUUGGGACUGAGACACGGCCCAAACUCCUACGGGAGGCAGCAGUGGGGAACCUUGCGCAAUGGGCGAAAGCCUGACGCAGCCAUGCCGCGUGAAUGAUGAAGGUCUUAGGAUUGUAAAAUUCUUUCACCGGGGACGAUAAUGACGGUACCCGGAGAAGAAGCCCCGGCUAACUUCGUGCCAGCCGCCGCAGUAA
rnacentral:rRNA from 1 species